rfam:Chinese wheat mosaic virus segment RNA2, complete sequence
GGCGUCCCGCAGUACGUUUAAACUGUAGG